rnacentral:rRNA from 1 species
AAAGCCUCUAAGCAUCAGGUAACAUCAAAUCGUACCCCAAACCGACACAGGUGGUCAGGUAGAGAAUACCAAGGCGCUUGAGAGAACUCGGGUGAAGGAACUAGGCAAAAUGGUGCCGUAACUUCGGGAGAAGGCACGCUGAUAUGUAGGUGAAGCGACUUGCUCGUGGAGCUGAAAUCAGUCGAAGAUACCAGCUGGCUGCAACUGUUUAUUAAAAACACAGCACUGUGCAAACACGAAAGUGGACGUAUACGGUGUGACGCCUGCCCGGUGCCGGAAGGUUAAUUGAUGGGGUUAGCGGUAACGCGAAGCUCUUGAUCGAAGCCCCGGUAAACGGCGGCCGUAACUAUAACGGUCCUAAGGUAGCGAAAUUCCUUGUCGGGUAAGUUCCGACCUGCACGAAUGGCGUAAUGAUGGCCAGGCUGUCUCCACCCGAGACUCAGUGAAAUUGAACUCGCUGUGAAGAUGCAGUGUACCCGCGGCAAGACGGAAAGACCCCGUGAACCUUUACUAUAGCUUGACACUGAACAUUGAGCCUUGAUGUGUAGGAUAGGUGGGAGGCUUUGAAGUGUGGACGCCAGUCUGCAUGGAGCCGACCUUGAAAUACCACCCUUUAAUGUUUGAUGUUCUAACGUUGGCCCGUAAUCCGGGUUGCGGACAGUGUCUGGUGGGUAGUUUGACUGGGGCGGUCUCCUCCUAAAGAGUAACGGAGGAGCACGAAGGUUGGCUAAUCCUGGUCGGACAUCAGGAGGUUAGUGCAAUGGCAUAAGCCAGCUUGACUGCGAGCGUGACGGCGCGAGCAGGUGCGAAAGCAGGUCAUAGUGAUCCGGUGGUUCUGAAUGGAAGGGCCAUCGCUCAACGGAUAAAAGGUACUCCGGGGAUAACAGGCUGAUACCGCCCAAGAGUUCAUAUCGACGGCGGUGUUUGGCACCUCGAUGUCGGCUCAUCACAUCCUGGGGCUGAAGUAGGUCCCAAGGGUAUGGCUGUUCGCCAUUUAAAGUGGUACGCGAGCUGGGUUUAGAACGUCGUGAGACAGUUCGGUCCCUAUCUGCCGUGGGCGCUGGAGAACUGAGGGGGGCUGCUCCUAGUACGAGAGGACCGGAGUGGACGCAUCACUGGUGUUCGGGUUGUCAUGCCAAUGGCACUGCCCGGUAGCUAAAUGCGGAAGAGAUAAGUGCUGAAAGCAUCUAAGCACGAAACUUGCCCCGAGAUGAGUUCUCCCUGACUCCUUGAGAGUCCUGAAGGAACGUUGAAGACGACGACGUUGAUAGGCCGGGUGUGUAAGCGCAGCGAUGCGUUGAGCUAACCGGUACUAAUGAACCGUGAGGCUUAACCUUACAACGCCGAAG